rfam:Ixodes scapularis strain Wikel colony gcontig_1108379252654, whole genome shotgun sequence.
GCGUCGGUGGUUCAGUUGUAGAAUACUCGCCUGCCACGCGGGUGGCCCGGGUUCGAUUCCCGGCCGACGCA